rnacentral:ncRNA from 1 species
ACAAAUCCAAUGACGGGAACAAGUACUCUGUUCCACCAGAUUACAGAGAGCCGGCGCUUGGUGAAAGCCGGAAUCUGGCCGCAGACGAAGAUCCUCCCUGAGGAGCAGGACUGAAUCCAGUAAGUCCUGACGAUUGAUCCCCGUUAGUGGAAACGCGUAUGUCAGUACGUUGAGUGCCCAUUCAUCCGGAUGGGAAUAAGGGUGGUACCGCGAAUCAUUUCGUCCCUCAU